rnacentral:lncRNA from 1 species
CCGAGCAUACACAGGAUGUACCAGUCUUACUGAAAAUAUUGAUCCCCUACUUAAUGUUCCAUCGACUAGGAAUAUUUAAAAUUAGAGUUUUAAGGUUUUAGGUCUCACUUGGUAUGAUCGCAUCAUAAUCCUAAAACCAUAGCCCUAAUUUAUGGGGUUCAUCAAAAUAAGAUGCAGCAUAUGAUGAACUAAAUGCCUUUAUUUAUUUAAAA